UCCUCGGUAGUAUAGUGGUCAGUAUCCCCGCCUGUCACGCGGGAGACCGGGGUUCGAUUCCCCCGCUGGGGAG
rnacentral:tRNA from 1 species